rnacentral:lncRNA from 1 species
UUAUUUGGUCUGUAGAACUUUCCUUGAGACCACAUAUUUUGAAACAAAAGAUAAAAUAGAUAUAAACUGAUGAGACAGUGUCAUGGUAUUUCAAGGCCAUGUGUCAUGGUAUUUCAAGGACAUAUUUUCAAAGAAAAUGUUUCCUUGUAUAAAAAUGUUUGCUUCAUUAGUUCCUUAAUAUCUCAUGCAAGUUGUUUGCAAAGACAAUCUUUAUCAAACUAGAAAAUAACUGCUUGGAAAUAUGUUGCUUAUAACCAUCAUGGCACCCACAAAUGGUAGUGCUGAUAGCUGUGACACUUCAAAAGGGACAUUCUACCACCAAAAUCACUCUAGAAACACUUGACAUUAAAGUUAUUCAUACCUGUGUAGCAUCUUGGGUUCUACCAAUAAAAUCAUUUUCUCAUGAAAGCUAUGCUCUAUGUCCACGAGAAACCAUGUUUUUCAGUGUAGACAGACUUGGAAUAACACUGAGUGUAGAAACACAGGGAGCCAUUCUCUUCCUUGGUCUGGCCAGUCCUUUAGUAGGGAAGGACCCUUUAUGCAGUUAGGUAAGUAGACUCUGUCAAGUGUUUCAGCAAAGUUGGGAGGAGGCUUACUCUAAGAUUUAUGGGGUUGGCAGAAGACUAUUGAGAAUCAGACCUUACAGGAUAGAGAGCAAAUAACUAUACACCUCGUAGUGCCCAGCAUUGCUACCUAAUCUUGUACUUCAUGGUUUAGAAUUUAAUGCAAAUGGUUACUCAGAUAUUCACUGUCUUUUGGACCUGCCCUCACUUUCCUAGUGAUUCCACAUUGACUCUUGAUCCACAUCAUACAAACAGAGGUGUGUGUCAUAGAAGGGAAAUUUCUUUUCUGGACAUGUAAAGUUUAAAUUGUAUAUUAGAUCUAAAUAAAGAUGUUUAACAGGCAGUGUUACUAUCUGAAUAUGAGGGGUCCCCCCAAAGCACCUAUGUUAAUGCAGAAGGUAAAACAAUUAUAUGAUAUUAGGAGAGCUAUAACAUUCCGUAGAUUAAUCUGUUUAAUGGAUUAGCAAUUUGAAUGACAGGUGGGGCAUG